rnacentral:rRNA from 1 species
GAUGAACGCUAGCUACAGGCUUAACACAUGCAAGCCGAGGGGCAGCAUUUUAGUUUGCUUGCAAACUGAAGAUGGCGACCGGCGCACGGGUGAGUAACACGUAUCCAACCUGCCGAUAACUCCGGGAUAGCCUUUCAAAAGAAAGAUUAAUACCGGAUAGCAUACGAAUAUCGCAUGAUAUUUUUAUUAAAGAAUUUCGGUUAUCGAUGGGGAUGCGUUCCAUUAGUUUGUUGGCGGGGUAACGGCCCACCAAGACUACGAUGGAUAGGGGUUCUGAGAGGAAGGUCCCCCACAUUGGAACUGAGACACGGUCCAAACUCCUACGGGAGGCAGCAGUGAGGAAUAUUGGUCAAUGGGCGCGAGCCUGAACCAGCCAAGUAGCGUGAAGGAUGAAGGCUCUAUGGGUCGUAAACUUCUUUUAUAUGGGAAUAAAGUUUUCCACGUGUGGAAUUUUGUAUGUACCAUAUGAAUAAGGAUCGGCUAACUCCGUGCCAGCAGCCGCGGUAAUACGGAGGAUCCGAGCGUUAUCCGGAUUUAUUGGGUUUAAAGGGAGCGUAGGUGGAUUGUUAAGUCAGUUGUGAAAGUUUGCGGCUCAACCGUAAAAUUGCAGUUGAAACUGGCAGUCUUGAGUACAGUAGAGGUGGGCGGAAUUCGUGGUGUAGCGGUGAAAUGCUUAGAUAUCACGAAGAACUCCGAUUGCGAAGGCAGCUCACUAGACUGUCACUGACACUGAUGCUCGGAAGUGUGGGUAUCAAACAGGAUUAGAUACCCUGGUAGUCCACACAGUAAACGAUGAAUACUCGCUGUUUGCGAUAUAUAGUAAGCGGCCAAGCGAAAGCAUUAAGUAUUCCACCUGGGGAGUACGCCGGCAACGGUGAAACUCAAAGGAAUUGACGGGGGCCCGCACAAGCGGAGGAACAUGUGGUUUAAUUCGAUGAUACGCGAGGAACCUUACCCGGGCUUAAAUUGCAACAGAAUAUAUUGGAAACAGUAUAGCCGUAAGGCUGUUGUGAAGGUGCUGCAUGGUUGUCGUCAGCUCGUGCCGUGAGGUGUCGGCUUAAGUGCCAUAACGAGCGCAACCCUUAUCUUUAGUUACUAACAGGUCAUGCUGAGGACUCUAGAGAGACUGCCGUCGUAAGAUGUGAGGAAGGUGGGGAUGACGUCAAAUCAGCACGGCCCUUACGUCCGGGGCUACGCACGUGUUACAAAGGGGGGUACAGAAGGCGGCUACCUGGUGACAGGAUGCUAAUCCCAAAAACCUCUCUCAGUUCGGAUCGAAGUCUGCAACCCGACUUCGUGAAGCUGGAUUCGCUAGUAAUCGCGCAUCAGCCAUGGCGCGGUGAAUACGUUCCCGGGCUUUGCUCACACCGCCCUUC